CUCCAGUUCUUGGUAAACCAGCUUUGGCAGGGGCUCUUUAAAUGCUUAGGAGAGCCCCUGCCAAAGCUGGUUUACCAAUUAUUACU